AAUCAAGAGAAACAAGAGAAACAGGUUGAUUAAACAUGAUAUUACUCAAACAUGGAAAACUUGGAAUUCGCAAUUGUGACCCCCCCAUCAACAAAAAGGUUGUGUCCAUGAACACACUUCGACUCAUCACUAGCCAAGAACAGAACAGCUUCAGCCACAUCCUCUGGCUUAAGUAGAACACCUUUGAGGAUAGAAUAUACAUUGCCGAAUCCCUCAUCAUCCAUUUUGUAGAAAUCCUUCGACUGUCGUGUAGGAACUACGUGUGGUGACACACAAUUUACGCGAAUACCAUAUUUUCCAAGCUCCACAGCCAAAUUCUUCGUGAGUCCUACCACCCCAUGUUUUGAACUUACAUAAUUGUGUGAAGAACCACCGCCUAUUUUCGAACAAGUACUCGCUGUCGUGAUUAUGUUCCCACUGCGAUUCGGGAUCAUUACCCGAGCAGCGUGUUUAGCACCCAAGAACGCACCUACAAGGUUUACAUUAAUAAUCUUUUCGAACUCUGAUUUUUCGAUUUCAAGAAUGCUUGGAUUUGGUAUCCCCCCAAUACCAGCAUUAUUGUGCAGAAUGUCUAAUUUCCCAAAUUUGGCAACAGCCGUGUCAACUGCAGUUUCUACAUCGGAUUCUUUAGUUACAUCACAGUGGACAAAAGAGGCUGAUGAUUUUCCCAAUUCCUUGCAUACUUUCUCUCCCAAUUCAUCAUUGACGUCUGCAACCAGAACUUUAGCACCAUGUUUGGCGAACAGUCUGGCAGUCGCCUCGCCGAUUCCAGUAGCAGCACCGGUGAUUAAUGCUACCUUCCCUUCCAGCCUAGGUUCAUACAUUUUGUUAGUACAAUAUUCAUAGUCAACCCAACUAUCAAAAUAACAUGCCUUGUACUUUGAGAAAGAAACCUCAAGAAUUAAUAGUUUAUCAGAAUGCAGUAUCAUGAAAAAUUAAAGAGUAAUACCUUCUAAUCAAAGUUGAAGCCAUUGAUGAACUUCCCACAGAGCUUCUUUGCUGCGAAUGUGAAUUGGUGUUUCUCUGCACUUUUAAACGUCUUUUAUAAUGCUAAUCGUAGAGAUAAUAAAGACGUUCACACGCAAGUUGGCAUUUAUUUUUAACUAAUCUGAUUUUCUAGAGGACUAUUCUCUCUUUCGAAGUAAUUUCCAACUCAAUUAGGCAUUUAUUUCUUAAUAAACUCCUGAUUUUUAGGAUAAUUGUUAUCUCUUUCCUUGUCAUAUCCAACGCAAUUAGUCAUUUUUUCCUAACUAAUCUGAUUUUUCAGACAGUCAUUGUCAACGCAAGCAGGCAUUUAUUUCUGACUAGUCUUAUUUUUCAGAUAAUUGUUAUCUGUUCCCACGUCAUUUCCAACGCAAGAUCUGAUUUUACAGAUAAUUAUUAUCUGUUUCCACGUCAUUUCCACGUACUUGUGUCCACGAUGAUUGAAUUAUUGCAAUACUUCAAAUAAUUUUCACGCGGCCUUCUCGAAAAUAGAAUUAAUUCACUUCUUAACAUUAUCAGUCUCAUUAAAGUUUAUAAGGUUGAAUGAUAGCACACUAAUUUACUUUAUUUUGUUUGACCUAAAUAUUUAAGUAUUGUAGAAGAUAAAAGAAAUCAAUAUUGGAAUUAUUUUGUAACUUACAUUAAAGGAAAAAAUAUGUAAAUACAACACUUUAAGUAUACAAUUUCACAUUUAACAAAUUCAUAAAAAUGUUUUAUAAAUCAAGUGCUAAAUGAUAAUAUUAUAUACAUUAUUGAAGCUGAAAUUUAGGGACUAUAGUUUAAAUUAGAAAUAUUUGAUAAACAUUAUCACAACAUAGUAAGUAGCAUUAUACUCCCUCCGCCCCAUUUAUAUAGGCUGAUUUUUUUAUUUUUUAUUUUUUUUUGGGUUCCAAUUAUAGUCCAGUUUCUUUAUUGAGAAUAUUUUGUUUUGUUUGUUUACUAAUAUACCCACAUUUAAUUUGCUUAGUUAUAACCAAAAUUUCUCAUUUAAUCUUGAAAUUGUACAAACAUAAAUAAGGGCAAUCUAGAAUUUUUUUUUUAAUAACAUUAAAUAAGUUUUCUUAAUUCCUAUGAAAAACAAAACCAUCGUAUAUAAAUAAGACGGAGGGAAUAUAUCGUUAAUAUAUAACAGAGUCUCUCACCUUGCAUUCUCUCUCUCCUCGCAUUUUCUCCCCCUUACAAUAAAUAACUCAUGACUCACCAAAAAUCUUCUACACCUCACUCUUUCAUUCUCUAUGUUAGCUUACGCAUUUUUGUAUAAUGCUAUUUGUACAUAAUAAUUUACAUAAACAUGAUGUGAUGAAAUAAAUUGAGUCAAAAUUUCUUCAAUAAAAAAAAUUCACUCACUUUUUGACACAUCAUCUGUAUGCAACUUAUUAUGUAACUCUAUUAAAUACAAGUAGCAUUUUUUUUUUUAAUUUGGUUGAAAAAAUUAUGAUCCAAUCAUAACUCAUUAUAUUAUGUGUAUGUAAAUUAUUAUGUAUAUGUAGCACAAUCACAAUUUUUUUUUUAUCUCUCUACUAUAUAUUAUUAAAUAGACUACAUAUACAUAAUGGUUUACAUACACAUGAUUUUGGUGAAAUAUACAAGUAACAUUAUUUUUUUCUUUUUAUUUGGUUGAAGAAAUUAUGACAUGAUCAUAACUCACUAUAUCGUGUGUAUGUAAAUCAUUAUAUAUAUGUAGCACAAUCGCACUUUUUCCUCUCUCUACUAUAUUUUAUUCAAUGGGUUACGCUACGUGUACAUAUUGAUUUAUAUAGAAAUGAUGUAGUGAGAUAUGAUAAGGUUAGAAUUUUUUCAACAAAAAAAAAUUUGUCUCUUUUUACACAUCAUCUGUAUGUAAACCAUUAUAUAACUCUAUUAUAUACAAUUAACAUUAUUCUUUUAUGCCCCCAGGGCAUAUCUCCCAGUGGCAAAUGGGAGGGCGGAUAGGGCUCAGCGCGGCAGUGUGCAGAGUUUGAUUCCCCGCAAGGUGGAAUUGGCUUUGUUGCAAGCGGGAGUUACCAUAUGGGUUAACAGCCUUGACCUAUCCAUGUGCUCUCCACCCUGGCUCCUGGGAGGCACAUCCUGCGAUUUACCUCCCCCACGAUGGCCCAGGGCAGGGUCGGUGGGGGCCCUUAAGGUUGGGGUUCAACCUUUUAACAUUAUUCUUUUCUUUAUUUGGUUGAAGAAAUUAUGACCCAAUUAUAACUCACUAUACCAUGUUUAUGUAAAUUAGUAUGUACAUGUAGCAAAAUCGCACUCUUUUUUUCCUCUCUAUUAUGUAUUAUUUAAUGGGUUGUGCUACAUGUAAAGAAUGGUUUACAUAAACAUGAUGUUGUGAGAUAUAAUUAAUUCAUUAUUUCUUUAACCCAAAAAAAGUAAAUAAAUAAAUAAAUUCUCCACUCUCUUUUUGACACCUUAUUAGUAUGUAAGUUCAGCCUCAAUUUGGGAUUCAUUCACCUCUACAGGUUCAAGAACAAGUUUAGUUUGCUGAUGAACAAGAUUAUUAUUAUCAUCUUCAGUUCAGCCUCAAUUUGGGUUUCAUUCACCUCUACAGGUCCUGGAGUAGAUUUAGUUUGCUGAUGAACAGGAUUAUUACUAUCAUCUUCAGGUUGAGGUAAGUCAAAUUUAGCUAACUUCAUCUCACUUUGAACUGUCCUGUCAUUUUCAAAUUUAUUUAUCUUACUAAAUUCUUAUUUUAGACAUGACAUUUCAAAUUCAUUGAAGACUAUAUGUCUACUAUUGAUGAUCUUAAUGCCCGGGACACCAAAAACCCAUAACAUGUAUUUUUUCACACUUUCUAGGUAACCUAGUGAUAAGUGUAUUUUAUACACUUAUUCGGGACUCUAAAAUAACGAUAUUUGAUAGUUCUUUGGCAAAAUACAUUCUAAAUUGUUGUCUUUUACGUUUAACAGGUGAAAAUCUACGAUUGAAAAGGAAGUGAAGGAGAGAAGCAAAAACGAGCGGAAAUAGCAAAAUCCAAAGUACAUGAAUUAAAUUGGCCAUUGGAUGCAAUUUUUGGGAAUCAAAGUCUAACUAUAAAAAUUGGACUGAUUUGCAUCGCUUUGAAAAUUGAGUACUUGGAGAAAAAUAAUCUACUAAGUGGGCUCAAUUGGACUUGCUUUGAAAUUCAAAUUGAAGAUUUACUAGGACGGUUGGACCUCUAAUUGGACUAGAAGAGCUGCUAGGUUGCAUUGCAUCGUAGGAUUCAUAUAUAUACACACAGAAAAUCCAAAGAGCCGGGGGGAGCAGCCUGGGAAAUAAUAUACAUUGGCAGCUACAAGAAUUAGGGAGACAGAAAAAAAAACAAGAGGCAGGUCGGCAUCUUUGGGAGGAGAAUUCUGCCAUCAAAGAUAUAAACACAAGUGCCGACUGCUAGGGGAUAGAGUGGAGAAAAAUCUGUGCUUUACUGGAGUGAGAAACACGCACAUAAAACGAAGGAAGAGGGGAUAGAUACAAGUUGCUGGCGGCAAGGAAGAAUUGGAGAAGAAAGAAGCAGCCAAUUAAUAUUUAGACUCACGCACAAAGAAAACGUCACCAGCUAGGAGGAACAAUAAUUAUAUACACGCAGUUGCAAUAUUAUAUAUUUACACAAACAUUGGGCGGUGACGUGAAGGAUUGUUCGGCACAAACACGGAAGUAGAUAUAUACACAUACGCCCACAGAUUCAUAAGGGUUGUUGCCGGCUGGUUUCAUUAAAAAAUUAUACACACGGGAAGACACUUUGGCAGAAAACAUAAAACACAUACACGCAUAGCAAAGACCAGAUUUGGAGAUUGAAUUGAAGGCUGUUUUUGGAGGGUUGCUUUUGGCUGAAAUAUAACACAUUGGCAUGAGCUUUUUGGGAAGAAAAAGAUACAAAAAGGAGGCAACCCAUUGGAAUAAAAAGAGAAAGACGGAGAUUUACUUUGGAAAUUAUUCACGUUUCGUUAAUUUCUCGGUGACGUUCUUCCAAUUUUAUGUGUUUAAUUUCAACAUCAUGUUAGGCUAAUUUUUCUCAUGUAUUGGAUGACGAUAAAAUUCGUUAUUAUUUAUUUUUAAUUCAAGACAUGUGGUUUAGUUAAAUUCUUGCAAUUAUUGAUUAAUCUUGCAUGCUUACUUUUAUUAUUUGAUUGUCUGAUCACCAAUUAAAUAUAUAGUUACUUAUUGUAGUGUUGGGAGGUUCACAAUAAGUUUAGAACAUUGCAUGAUUAACAUAUGUACAAUAAAUUUUAGGAAUAAGAUUUAUAACGUGUGCAAUCUUUGAGAUAAUUGUGAAAUUGAAUACAUUUUAUUCAUAUGAAUUCAGACUAGGAAUAAGAUUUAUCACGUGUGCAAUCUUUGAGAUAAUUGUGAAAUUGAAUACAUUUUAUUCAUAUGAAUUCAGACUAGGAAUAAAAUCGGAUCGUGAAUAGGAUAGAUUUAAUUUGUCUUGGAAAGGAAAAUUAAUUACAAUAAAAUUAUCGAUUGUCAAGAAUGCAAGAGCGAAACUAGCUACGUAAUCGAGAAUUGGAAUAGAUAAUAAUAAGUGGAUUCGUAAUCCAACACAUUCUUCCCAUAUACAUUUUAAAUUCGCAUUUUAUACAUUUUCAUAGAUUUCACAAAAAUCACUUUUAAUUUGUUCGCUUUGAAUCUAAUUAAGAACUAAUACACUAAGUUAAAUUUUAUUCCUCGUGGGACGAUACUCUAACUCACUAAAUCUAUUACUUGUACAACGAACCCAUACGUUUGCGAAAUUCACACGAACACCUAGCAUCAGACAUUUGAUGGUCCUAAGUUCAAGUUUCCCUUCAAAUUGAUGUGCAUAUGCAGUACAUCUAAAAACUCUUAUAUGGGUUAAGUUUAGGGGCUCCCCUAUCCACAAUUUUUAUGGAGUUUUAAAGCUUAUACUGCUAGAGGGAGACUUGUUUAUCAAGUAAGCUGUUGUACAAGUAGCUUUAGCCCAAAAACCUUUGGCCAAGCCAAAACUGAUAAGCAUGAAUCUAUAUUUAUUCAUUAUGGCCAAGUUCAUUCUCUCAACAACCCCAUUUUGUUGAGGCAUGUAUUUUAUAGUCCUAUAUCUCAUUAUUUACAAAAAUUAUCAAAUUCUACAUUACAAAAUUCAAGCUCAUUAUCAGUUCUUAGUGUUUUUAAUUUUUCUCUAACUAAUUUUCAACAGCUUUGAGCCAAGUUCUAAACUUGUGAAAGGUUUCAGACUUAGCCUAUAAAGGGUAAAUACAAACCUUCCUAGAAAAAUCAUUUAUAAGGGAUAGAAAGUAAUUAUACCAAAUGUAGAAUGCUUCUCAAGACACCAAAGUUCACCAUGUAUAUAGUCCAAGGACCUAUUAGUUCUAUGUGAGAUAGACUCAAAACUCACCUUGUCAGACUUAUCCAAUACAUAAGUCUCACAAAAGUCCACAGUCUCAAUAACAUCUUUUUCAAGUAAUUUUUGAUUACUUAAAGAUUUUAAUCUUUAUUUCCAAUAUGACCCAUUCUAUUGUGCCAAAGUUCAGAUUUAUUUUCAUUUACAGUUAGUAGACUUGGAUUAGGUGCUAUAACUGUUUUGCUUUCUAGAUAAUAUAGACCAUUUCUUUUAGGUCCUUUCAUUACAAUUAAAGAGGCCCUCAUAAUUUUCAAAGUUUUAUUAUCAGAUUUGAAGGUAUAUCCCUCAUCUUCAAGGAACUCUAAUGAAAUAAAGUUCCUUUUCAAAUUCGGGAUAUAUUUCACAUUCUUGAUUGGCCUGACAAUGCCAUCAAACAUUUCGAUAGCAAUAUCACCAGUUCCAUUCAUACUCUGAGAAUUAUUAUCUCCCAGAUACACAUUUCCAAGUUCUAUUUCCUUAUAAUUAUAAAACCAUGAUCUUUCAGGGCACAUAUGACAACUGUAUCCAAUAUCUAGAAUCCAAUCUUUAUUAGGUUCUUCAUUUGACACGUUUAGUAUAUGUAAGCUAUCUAAUUCAGAUAAAUGCAAAAUUAUAGAACAAUAGGCAAUUUCAUUCAUCUCUUCAAUUUCAGCAGUUUUUGCUUUUAACUCAUAGAAAAUGUUUCAAGAUCAUCAAGAACCUUUACAACCCUUUUUGGACUAAGUUGGCCCUCAUUUUCUGCUUCCGUAUAGGAUAGUCCCCCUUUCUAUUGAAUUGAGACAAUUUGACUUUCAAACCCAUUAUGGAUUCCGUUACAUAAUUAAAACUAAGAAUAUAGAAGCAACAAAUUUAGAUUUAGAAGAUUUUAAAAUAUAUAUAAAAGAACUCUUGGAAUUAGGAGUAAUUAGAAAAUCAAAUAGCCCUCAUAGAUCAGCAGCCUUUAUAGUUAGAAAACAUUCAGAAAUUAUUAGAGGAAAAAGUAGAAUGGUCAUUAAUUAUAAAAGAUUUAAUGAUAAUACUAUAGAUGAUGCUUAUAAUAUACCAGAUAAGACAGUUUUAAUAAAUAAAAUACAAGAUUGUAAAAUUUUUAGUAAAUUUGAUUUAAAGCCAGGAUUUUGACAAGUAAAAAUGCAUCCAGAAAGUAUUAAGUGGACAUCUUUUACCUGCCCAGAAGGACAUUUUGAAUGGCUCAUAAUGCCAUUUGAAAUUAAGAAUGCACCAAGUAUUUUUCAAAGAAAAAUGGAAAGUAUUUUUAAUAGACAUAGUAAGUUUGUAAUAGUAUACAUAGACGAUAUUUUAGUAUUUAGUAAAAAUAAACAAGAACAUAGAGGACAUUUACAAAUAGUAUUUUCAGAAUUUAUUAAACAUGGUCUAUUAAUUAGUAAAAAGAAAAUGAUUUUAUUUAAAGAAUUUAUAGAUUUUCUAGGAGUUAAUAUAGGAGAAGGAAAAAUUGAGUUAUAACCCCAUAUUGCUAAAAAAGCAUUAGAAUUUCCAGAUAAAUUAGAAGACCUAAAACAAAUCCAAAAAUUUUUAGGAUUAGUAAAUUAUGCUAGACCAUUUAUAAAAGAUCUGGGAAAAAUAGUAGGACCCUUAUAUGCUAAGACAUCUCCUACAGGAUAAAGAUUUUUUAAUCAAGAAGACAUAAAACUAGUGCAACAAAUAAAAGAAAAAAUAAAAACUUUACCAGAACUAGCUAUGCCACUAGAUUCAGAAUACUUAAUCAUAGAAACAGAUGGAAGUAUGAUAGGAUGGGGAGUUAUACUAAUAUGCAAACCCAAUAAAUAUACUGAUAAAAGUACAUAAAAAAUUUGUAGGUACAAUAGUGAAAAUUAUAAAGAGAAAGGAAACUUAAGUAGUAUAGAUGCAGAAUUAUUAGCUAUAAAUUAUGCAUUAGACAGUUUUGAACUAUUUAUUAUAUCUAAGAAAUAAAUAACUAUAAGAACAGACUGUAUAGCUAUAGUUUCCUUUGUCAAUAAAAUGAAAAUAGAUUCAAAAAGAAGUAGUAGAAGAAGGUGGUUAAAUUUUAUAGAUAGAAUUACAAAUACAAGAAUUAAUAUAGAAUUUGAGCAUAUUAAAGGUAGUGAUAAUAAAGCAGCAGAUAUACUAAGUAGAAUAAUAAUAGAUAGAAAUUAUUAAAUUUGCUUAACAUAAUUUUGUUAUACAAAUGAUAAGACCAAGGCCUAUAAGACCAGGAAUUCCACCUGGGAAUUCAUUUGCAUCAAGACUAUUACCACAGACUCCAUUUAAUCAGAACAGACCAAUGUUACAAGACAGAUUAAGGUUUGAAAACCAAGAACUUAUAGUGUUUCCCAAUAGUAAUAUUUCUUUUAAAAUUUUACCGCAUAUUUCUUUAUCUAGAGAAGAGAAAUGUAUUUUAGACAAUUUAUGGAUUUCUUAUAAUAAGAAUCCAAAAGACCAAAUAUAUUUUCUUGCAUGCAUGAAUGCAUUGUCAGAACACUUUUGUCAGAACAAGCAAAGGUUUAAAUUCUAUGUUGUUAUUAAAGGAAGAACUCCAGGAAUUUUCCAUUCUUGGAUAGAAGUUUUAGACUGUAUUAAAAAUUUUCCAGACCCUCUUUACAAAGGUUUUACAAAUUUUCAAGAAGCAUUAGAUGUUGCAAGACAACAGUUAGGAAUAAAUUUUUAUUUAUCUCCUUCUUUAAAGAACUACUCAGACCCUCCAUUAGACUUUUCUCCAAGUAAAGACCAGAAUAUUUUUUGUCAACACUGUGAGUGUAUGCAGAGAAACUACAAAGUUAUUAAUGAAGCCAACCAGAACCUUUCAAUAGAAAGAACCCAACUCCAAAAGAAAGUGGCCCAACUAGAAAAAGAGAUUUUGGAUUUAAAAGUCCAUUAUCCAACAGGUACUAUGGAGCCCAAGAAGUCCAUAGCUAGUCCAGCCCAAACGGUAGCUGGUAAAGACUUAUCAAAUCCGUUGAAGGUUGUGGACUUACCAAAAGCCCAACAGAUUCAGGGGACUGUUGAUUCCUCUACUAAAUUAGAUAAUCAGACUUAGCAGACUGAUAAAUCUACUACAGAAAAAGGUAAAUAAAUUUGGGAUCUUUUAGGAUAGCUCAGCAAAAAAUUUGAUUACUUAGUUAAAUACAGCCCACCAGAUCAUUUUUCACCAGAAUAUUUUUCAAAUAAUCCAGAAUUUUCACAAGCCCAAGAAAUUCAGUUCAGUAAGGGAAAAGAAAAAAUGGUAGCUCAAGAUAGCCAAGACUGUUUAUUCCUUCAAGAAUCACAAGAUCCUAAUCCAGAUACUGUUUCUUUAGAAAAGAUUUUUGAAAAAAUUGAAGAAUUUCAGAAGCAAUCCAAAAAAGACGAAAGAAUUUGAACAAUUAAUUAACAUGGGUAGUAAUCCAUAUAAUUUUGUUAGUAAAAUACAGAUAUUAAUAACAGGAGCAGACCCAAAUUCAGGACAUAUGAGUAUACAAAGAAAAGUUAUGAGAGAUUUAGAACAACUUAGCUUUUAUAUAUGGACUAAAGGAAGAUAUGUUAAGAACUUUUUAAAUGAAUAUCAUUAUUUAACUUCAAUAUUAGGAAAUACAUUUAAUCAAGAAAUUGGUAAAAAAUUGUUUCAUAAAUUACCAGGACCAUUAGGAUUAGAAAUCACAGAUAAAUGGAAUAAUUUACCAGCAGUAAAUAUGUAUGUAAUAGUAAUGAACAUUUAUCCAAGACUUGUCCAAAAAGAAUAAAUAAUUAUGAUAAGAAAAACACAUUAAUAGAAUGUACUAAUGAAGAUAUAAUACAAUUAGAUGAAUAUAUCUCAGAUAAAGAAUCUAUUUAUAGCAUUAUAUCAAUAGAAGAUAAAAAUUUAGAAGAAAAUAAAGAAUUUGAUUAUGAAAUAAUAGAUGAAUUCUAUAUAUAUAUAUAUUAAAAACUUUCAGUUAAAUAUAUUAGGGUACAUGUAUAAUGCUCAAAUAGCAAUUGCAGGCUAAUAACAUAGAUAUAUGUAUAUCAAUAGUUCAAAAGAAUUAGAGUAACAUAUAUCUUAUACAGAAAAAUAUCGAACCGAAUUUACAGAGGGAGAUUCAGAAAGAUCUUAUCAAUACUGCUUAAACAGUAUUAUUGAUAUAAUGCCUUAAAUCAAGCCAACAACUAGAGACUUCAAUUAAGCGACCUUCCAUCUCAAAAACAAAUAGAUCAAUGAAUGGUGUAUUGCCUAAAUUUAUCAUAGUUUAAAGACAAGAUACCAAAAAUAAGCUAUUUGUGUAGAUCGUUUCCGAUCUAUGUAGAUUCGAAGAACCGGUGUACCCUAAGGAGGUAUAUUCCGUAAGAGACACAAAACCCAUGGACCUUGAAUGCUCCGAUACUAGUUUUGUUGGGUAUUUGCGGUUGAUUUGUGUAUUGAAUCAAAGCACAAAACAUCACACACAAUAAAAACAAAAAGACAAACACAAGAUCACCAAGAAAUGUAGACCCAAUUCAACCAAUAGACCUAAUCUCAGGGGCUCAGGGAUAACCUAUUCCACUAGUGCAUAAUCUACCUUCCAAGAAAGCAAGAUUACAUAAAGAACCACUCGGACAAGGUUUUAGUCAUAGAUCAAACAGAUCCUGUAAAACUAGUAAACUGACCCAAAAUAAACCAACCAAAAAUAUAUGGAGUUAGUCUAUACAAGAACAACCACUCUCUCAGGCCUGAUCGUAUAUACAUGCUACAAGCUCCAUUUGGAUCAAUUGCAAAAACCUCAAAUACUAGAGAAGAAUUUUUUAGCGUAAAGACAAAAGAGAAAACCAAGGGAAGAGAGAAAAUCGAAACAUCUGGAAUGACCCAAAGUCUUUUGACCUAGACCACUAAAGAGACACUUUGGAUUCCAAGGUAAAAUCUCAGCCCUUGAUCGAAUCUAACGGCUCGGAAAGAGCUUUAACUAGCACAAUCCGUGUGCACACCAAAUGGCCAAUGUCUCUUGACCUAGACCACUAAAGAGACGCUUUGGAUUCCAAGGUAAAAUCUCAGCCCUUGGUCGUAUCUAACGGCUCAGAAAGAGCUUUAACUAGCACAAUCCGUGUGCACACCAAAUGGCCAACAGAUGGAUGCGACUUAAGCAGGGAUAUCUAACUAGGCAGCAAGGACAAAAUGACACAAAUAGCACUCUUUUUAAAGUGUUUUGAGAAACACGAUUUUUCACAAGUUGGAUGAAUUCUGAUUGUUGAAACCCAUAAAAAAUAGUAUAAUUAAGAGCACUGUAAAGAAAAUGGACGGUUCAAAAUAUUACCUUCCAAAGACCAGUUUCAAGUACAUACUUCUGUGCAAUUUCCUUUGCAGAAGACUUAUUCUUGAUUUGCUCCCUUUUUUCCUUCACAGCUCUGACCAUGAACCUGUUGAAACUGAACUUGGAACUCGAAAUUGAGGCAUCAAACCUACUUAAUUUUCCAUUAUCGAGCAAAAUUGAAGAAAAGAUAGGCUUAUUGUUCAAGUGUUGAGAAAAGAGUUGCAGAAAUGUGGCUAUUGUGUGUGAGGAGAGAGAGAGAAUUUGAUAUUUCGGAAGAGAUCUACUACAGGAACAGGAUGAAUGACAAGAUUUUAUACAGGUAUAUACUUGACAAAAUUUCGUUGGAAGUUAAAAUAAAAAGGAAAAAGAAAAUCUGACAAUCAAAAACUACUAUUUCAACACUUGAAAACGGCCCUUGUUAAUUUGCAAUUAACCCUAUGCAACUAGUUUAAUCCAUUUCGGAGCCAUGGAGGGGCUUGAAAAUAAAAUUCUCAGAUGGAAAGAGUGACAAAUAACUCGAUUCUACCCUUUUGCUUUCCAAGGCACAAUUUACAUUUAUCUUAAAACCCUCAAAAUUUUGUUAUUCUUAGAAAAUCACCGUAAACAUCUUUAUUAGGGAAUUUGGCGCAAAUGUUCCCAACUUCACCUUUAGUGUGCAAAUGGUCCCUAACAUUUAUUUCAUGGCUUGAACAUCUCUAUCUCAAACUAAUGUCUCGGUUCGCAAUUGAUCAUAUUUUAAUAAGAAAAAGAUCAAUAUGUCCUUUAUUUAAAUUAGGAAAAAUAAAAUUUGUAGCUAGGUCCCUAGCCAUUGGAAAAAAUUACAAAGCCCCAAAUCUUUUAUUUAAUAAUAUUGAUUUUUAACAUACUAAAUAUAUAAUUAUAGUUGUCCCAAUUAAAUUUUCCAAAAAGAAAGAAAAAGUUAAAUUAUAUGUCAUGAAAAACUUGAAUAAAAUUAAGAUAAAUGAAAAACAAAAUGACUUAGAUAAUUUUAGGACAUUCAACCAAUAUCAUUGAUAAUUAUAUAUGAACCAAUACUAGUCAAAUAACAUUCAACUCAUAAGUCAAGUAUAUUUUUUUCAAAGCUUGGUGUUUGAUCAGUGUAAAUACGACACUUAUCUCGACUUUUUACGAGGCUUUUAUUAGUGUUUCGAAUUCAAUUCUAUUGAUUUUUUUUCCUAUAAAAUGAACCCCAAACUUUUCAUGACAUCGUUAGUGAAAUUGAUAAAAGAGAUUAAAAAGCAAGUUCACAUGAAACUGGAACAAAAAGGAAAAGGGGAAAAGAAAGAUAAAUCAACUGGAACUGAAUACGCGAAAAUACUUGGAGAAAUUAGAGUACCAAGCUCAGUUAGGAGUCCAACACAUUCAAAAUUAUGUACCACAAAUCAUUUUCAUUUUCGUCUAGACUGCCACACUAGGCACACUCUUGCACUUCAGUUCCCUAUUUUCAACCCCAAAAAUAUCUAUGAUGGAAGCCUUAGGGUCUUUUAGGUCAUUUGAUACAUGGUUUUGCGCCUUAAUUUUCAGUUUGAAUAUACUAUAAUCCAUCUACUUCAUAAGGGAGCUUGUAGGAGACACAAAUUCAGACCUAGGGUUCGGUGAAUUGAAGAACAAGGAUUGGGGAUUUUGAAGUUCUGGCUCAACGAUUCUAUUUGGUUAUGUCAAGCUAAACUCUUAUUUGUUUGAUUACUUUGAAUAUGUAGCUAAAUUUUCAUUUGCUAGGAUGGUGAUGUAAAUCACUCUUGUGAAAAUUUAAUCUAAUUUUUCAUUUUGAACUUCAAAUGUGAAUAGUGAUUGAUUACUUGUUAUUGAUUUUAUUACAUUCAAUUAUUUAGCCACCAGUUGAACUAUUUAUGGACUGUAUUGAUAUCGAGGGGUGAUAUUCAUGUUUAAAUCAAAUAUUUAACAAGUGCACGAUUACUAAAAAAAUAAAACGUAACAUAAAUCUGGAGAGCAAAAAUAGAUUUUAACUUUAUUUGAGAGAAACAGUUAAAUAAUUUAGGGAUAUUGUCUUCAACAUAAACAAGUAUUAUCAAUUAUGUGAUUGGUUGAAUUAAAGUAGAUAAGUAUACAGGUAAAAUCAAAGUUAUAUUUGAAACUUCUUCAAAGUUCAUAAAGUAUUUUUAGCUUAACUUUAAGUAAUUUUUUUAGUUAAAAUCAAAAUUCAAUUAAAACUUGGUAUAAAACUAUUUAGUUUGAUAUAUAACUAAAUAUAAGUUUUAAUGGAAUCAACACUCUAUUUGCUCUUGAUUACUUGUCCACAAUACCGUGCACUUACAAUUUUUAAGUGACAAAUGACAAAUGUGUCACAUAUUACUAAACUAAAAGACAGUUGAGAAUCGAGAAUUUUAAAUUACUAAGAAUUUUUCAAGGACAAUACAACUAAAAGACCAUUGCAAGAUGUCCUUUUUAGUAAAUGAGCACUUCUUGUGAAAAUUAGCAAAAUGAGUACUUUUAAAUGAAACUACUGAAAAUACCCCUAAUGUUAUAUUUUUAUUUUUAUUUUCAUAAAAUUCAACCAUUACUUGAUAGGUGCACAACUUUUGAGGCAAAUCUUGAAAGUCGGCAAAAAAAGUUUCAUUCUAGGAGAUCUUUUGGUAGCAAGCUGAUAAUUCGACUAAUUAAGAUAGUUAAAACUAUUUUCCAUUUUUUGAGUUGGUUAGAGUUGUUUUCUAAGAUAGUUGGAAUUAGGCCUGUGCAAUUUAACAGGAAUCGAAUCUUUCGAAUCGAAUUUGAAGGUUCCGAUUUGAUUCUCAAAAAAAAAAAAUUUGGAACCAAAAUCGAGAAUCAAUAAUCAACUAGAUUCUGUUCGAUUCUUGGCUCUUGAACUAGAACCGUGGGUACGUAAAUGGAACUGAUUUUUAUAUAAUUUUUUGUUUAUAAUUUAUAGGCUAGAUAGAAAAAUACAAAACAUAAAAACCCUAAUUUGAAUAUUAAUUAGUUUAAAACUCUAGACUAACAAAUCUAGACUGGCUCCUAAUUUUUUGCCUAUUGCCUCAUAUCAAAUUGUUGUAUGUCACAGGUUAGUACAUAUUUAUCUUUACAAUUUGGAUUUUUUAUGAGUCAAAAAAUUCAAGUUAAAUUGUGGUGUAAGUUGAUAAAUCAAAGCGUUCAUCCUCUGGGUUUACUUGUAAAAUUAUUUUAUGGAAAAAUGUGCGAUUGAAAAUGAGUAUUGAAAAAUGAGUUUUUGAAAAAAUUGAGCCAAAUUGGUUUAUCUUAAGUUCAUGGUUCUCUUUUGAAAUAUAUAUUAUUUUUUUCUUUUCUAUUCAAAAAGGGUGAGUUCAAUAUGCCAACUGUAAUUUCUUAACAUUAUAUAUGUAUUUAAUUAGUAUUUUUUUGUCAAUUCAUUUUAAAAGUAGAAGAAUUUAAGCAUUGUUCAUAAUUAAAUUAUAGGUUUUAGCAUGCCCCACUUAUGGAUUGAAUAAGAUUUAUGCAUUGUUUGAUUCCCAUUUUUUUAAAAUACAUUUUUCUUUCUCGUCUUUUCAACUACACAUUAUUCAUUAAAAUGAUAUUACACAUAAGUUAUUUCUUAUUUUUCAACCACAUAUUUUCCAUUGAAUUGACUAUUCUAAAAUUUAUUUUUUCAUAAACAUGGGGCUCCAUCACCCUCUUAUUAAGAAAAGUACUUUUUUCUCAAAUUGUAAUUUAAUUUUUGAUGCUUUAAUUUUCUUCUCUUUUCAUAGUUUUUAGUUUUCACUAUUUUGCUUCUUGAAGAUUUAUUAGCUGAAUUUUCUCAAUGCACAAAUACUUUCGAACAGUAUCGUGUAAUGUAUAAGUACUGAAAGGGACUAUAUGAAAAUGCCUAUAUAUAUAUAUAUAUAUAUAUAUAUAUAUAUAUAUAUCAUGGGUUUGAGUUUGGUUCUAUGAAUUACAAUUACCCGAAUUGUUCUAUUUACGAAAUACCCGAAGUAUAAUAGGUGAUUCUAGGUUAAAAUAUCCAGAUCGAUCCACCCGAAACCAAAGCCUUGUUAGAAUUGUCUAGUAUUCCAAUAAUUGUCUCGAAAAUGAGUAUUCUCUUGAAAAAUUUUCAUAAAAGGUAAGUCAUUUAUAUAUAUAUAAAUGUGUGUGUGUGUGUGUGUCUCCUAGACAUAAUUCAUUACUUCUAUUAGGAACAUGGAUAACAUAGAAAAGGUCAAGCCUUCUUUUAGAACAGCUCUAGUCAAAUGUUAUAUAUGCCCUUUUUGUAUGACAUCACGACACUCUACUGAAAAACAGGGGAAAAGGAAUAAAAUCACUUAGCCAAGCUUAAAAAUAGGAGAGUGAAGAGACAGGCUGAUGUAUUAGAAAAUGAUUGGGUGUUUUUGUUUUAAUUUUUCAAAUUAUUCAAUCAUGCGUCGACACAUGUUCCAUUUGGAUUUGAGACUGAAUGUGCAACAUUAUUGGGGAAAAAAGGGUAUUGUUGUAACAAUUUUGAGACUAAGUAAUUAAAUCCAUGAAGAACAUGAGCUAGGAAGCACCUUCAAGUUCUUGAGUGCAAAGAAGAGAGUGAGUUAUAAGUGACGAGGUUUUUUUUACUCAAAAUACAACAGUGCCUUAUACAUUCAGAAAAUUGAACUAAAUAUCAACAAACAUCAUUUGAGUUCACUGUGAUUCGGUGAAAAACGAAAAUAGGCGAGCUUUAGAAGAGAAACCGCAUUCCCUUAGCCCAUGUCAUCUAGAACAACUAGUCCAAACAAAGAAGAACAAGAUCGAGUUAUAAACUUUGUGAUAGAACUUCUCCAAUGUAUUUCAUAUGAUUGAAUAUGAAAAUUGCUUUAUUAUAUUUCAAUGUAUCAUCAUUUGCUAUAUCUUAAUUUGGUAGAUUUUCACUCUUACAAUUGAUUCGUCACUCAUCACCACGCGAUUGCAUUUUCGAUUGUCUAGAAAGUAAUAAUAUUAUUCGUAUAGAAAUUUGCAAGCUUACUUUUUCUAAAUAAUGGAGACAAUAAGAAAAAAACGACAAUGAAAAGCUAGAAGCCACAAAGAGGUCGAAAUGCCAUAUUCGCCACUUAAUGAUCAAUGAUUUCGAAGGAACUAGAUCUACCUGUUUUUUAUUUCCAUUCAACAGCUUUUAAGUCGCCAAUCCAUAUGUAUUAAUGAUAAUACCCAAACAACUACCAUUCAAUAGAGGUGAAUAUGAAUAUCAGAAAAUACGGUUGACUUUCUUCCAUUGCCUUGUAAUAAAAUAAUGUUUAUUUAAGGAUAAGAGAAAUUAAACAUGAGAACUCAACAGCGAAAAAAAUAAAUAUCCACAAAACACGUCUAGGAAAUAUUUGCUUGGAGAUUAUUCAAACAUGGAAAACUUGGAAUUCGCAAUUGUGAUCCCCCCAUCAACAAAAAGGUUGUGUCCAUGAACGCACUUCGACUCAUCGCUAGCCAAGAACAGAACAGCGUCAGCCACAUCCUCUGGCUUAAGUGAAACACCUUUGAGGAUAGAAUAUACAUUUCCGAAUCCCUCAUCAUCCAUUUUGUAGAAAUCCUUCGACUGCUGUGUGGGA
rnacentral:lncRNA from 1 species